rnacentral:rRNA from 1 species
UAUCCUGUCUGAAUAUGGGGGGACCAUCCUCCAAGGCUAAAUACUCCUGACUGACCGAUAGUGAACCAGUACCGUGAGGGAAAGGCGAAAAGAACCCCGGCGAGGGGAGUGAAAAAGAACCUGAAACCGUGUACGUACAAGCAGUGGGAGCCUCUUAAUGGGGUGACUGCGUACCUUUUGUAUAAUGGGUCAGCGACUUAUAUUCUGUAGCAAGGUUAACCGAAUAGGGGAGCCGAAGGGAAACCGAGUCUUAACUGGGCGUUAAGUUGCAGGGUAUAGACCCGAAACCCGGUGAUCUAGCCAUGGGCAGGUUGAAGGUUGGGUAACACUAACUGGAGGACCGAACCGACUAAUGUUGAAAAAUUAGCGGAUGACUUGUGGCUGGGGGUGAAAGGCCAAUCAAACCGGGAGAUAGCUGGUUCUCCCCGAAAGCUAUUUAGGUAGCGCCUCGUGAAUUCAUCUCCGGGGGUAGAGCACUGUUUCGGCAAGGGGGUCAUCCCGACUUACCAACCCGAUGCAAACUGCGAAUACCGGAGAAUGUUAUCACGGGAGACACACGGCGGGUGCUAACGUCCGUCGUGAAGAGGGAAACAACCCAGACCGCCAGCUAAGGUCCCAAAGUCAUGGUUAAGUGGGAAACGAUGUGGGAAGGCCCAGACAGCCAGGAUGUUGGCUUAGAAGCAGCCAUCAUUUAAAGAAAGCGUAAUAGCUCACUGGUCGAGUCGGCCUGCGCGGAAGAUGUAACGGGGCUAAACCAUG